CCUACGGGUGGCAGCAGUGAGGAAUAUUGGUCAAUGGGCGAGAGCCUGAACCAGCCAAGUCGCGUGAGGGAAGACGGUCCUAUGGAUUGUAAACCUCUUUUGCCGGGGAGCAAAAAGCGGUACGCGUACCGCAUCGAGAGUACCCGGAGAAAAAGCAUCGGCUAACUCCGUGCCAGCAGCCGCGGUAAUACGGAGGAUGCGAGCGUUAUCCGGCUUUAUUGGGUUUAAAGGGUGCGCAGGCGGCGAGUUAAGUCAGCGGUAAAAUUUCGGGGCUCAACCCCGACAAGCCGUUGAAACGGGCGUGGAAGAGUGGGCGAGAAGUGUGAGGAAUGUGGGGGGGAGCGGUGAAAGGCAUAGAUACCACGCAGAACGCGGAUUGCGAAGGAAGCAUACCGGCGCCCAAGUGAGGCUCAGGCACGAAAGCGUGGGUAUCGAACAGGAUUAGAUACCCGAGUAGUC
rnacentral:rRNA from 1 species